rnacentral:rRNA from 1 species
AGGACGAACGCUGGCGGCGUGCUUAACACAUGCAAGUCGAGCGGAAAGGCCCUUCGGGGUACUCGAGCGGCGAACGGGUGAGUAACACGUGAGCAACCUGCCCUUAGCUCCGGGAUAGCUCCGGGAAACCGGAAUUAAUACCGGAUACGACCACGGCCGACAUCUGCUGUGGUGGAAAGGAUUCCGGCUAAGGAUGGGCUCGCGGCCUAUCAGCUAGUUGGUGGAGUAACGGCCCACCAAGGCGACGACGGGUAGCCGGCCUGAGAGGGCGACCGGCCACACUGGGACUGAGACACGGCCCAGACUCCUACGGGAGGCAGCAGUGGGGAAUAUUGCGCAAUGGGCGAAAGCCUGACGCAGCGACGCCGCGUGGGGGAUGAAGGCCUUCGGGUUGUAAACCCCUUUCAGCAGGGACGAAGCGAAAGUGACGGUACCUGCAGAAGAAGCGCCGGCUAACUACGUCGCCAGCAGCCGC